rnacentral:rRNA from 1 species
UCGGGAAUUUUGGGCAAUGGGCGAAAGCCUGACCCAGCAACGCCGCGUGAAGGAUGAAGUAUUUCGGUAUGUAAACUUCGAAAGAAUAGGAAGAAUAAAUGACGGUACUAUUUAUAAGGUCCGGCUAACUACGUGCCAGCAGCCGCGGUAAUACGUAGGGACCAAGCGUUGUUCGGAUUUACUGGGCGUAAAGGGCGCGUAGGCGGCGUAAUAAGUCACUUGUGAAAUCUCCGGGCUUAACUCGGAGCGGCCAAGUGAUACUGUUAGGCUAGAGUGCAGAAAGGGCAAUCGGAAUUCUUGGUGUAGCGGUGAAAUGCGUAGAUAUCAAGAGGAACACCUGAGGUGAAGACGGGUUGCUGGGCUGACACUGACGCUGAGGCGCGAAAGCCAGGGGAGCAAACGGGAUUAGAUACCCAAGUAGUCCCUGAGCGGGCUGGCAAGGCGCAU